AUAAAAUUCAUUUUGAUUUUAUUGAUCUAUGCGGAGGGAAGGGGCAUCUAGUUUGUGGUUUCCCUGUGCAGUUAAGCAUUUCUAUUGUUCGACAUCUGGUUUCAAUUCCUCCAACUUUAAAAUUUUGAUCCUAGUGUUUCCUUCUUGUAACUCGUUGUUGGUCCUUUCAUAGUUCUUCCUAGCUAUGUAUGUUGUUCAGUAUACUGGCAAUUUUGAUGGAGCACCUCCAAAACUAUAGUUGUAGCUUAGAACAAGCUAGUACAUAUGCGGAGUAGUUUACACUGCUAACCCAGAUGGAUGACCUAGUUUGUCAAGCAUGGAAAUUAAUUUAGGCAGAAGUGUUAAUAUAAUAACAAUGGUAUGAGGUUGUAUUAGCUUUGGUAUUGGCGAGAAGUGAGUGAGUAAACUAGGAAGAAAUGAAAAAGAGACACAGGUCAAGUAACUUUGAGAUUGAGGGAGUAAAGUAGUAGGUUGCUUCUUAAUAUUAUGAUAAUUUUUAUUAGUAGUGUAACAGGUUGCUUGUACCAAUCAUUUUUCAAGUAAACUCUAUGGAGUCAUUACACACACACACACUCUCUCUCUCUCUCAAAAAUAAUUGUUAAUCCAUAGGAUGAAUUUCUGUAGCAUUUUUUUUGUGUUUUGUAGGUUGUUACCGAUUCUGGGUGUGCCAGUAUUAGCUGCUAUGAAUGCUGCCACCCCAAUCUUGAGGCGUAUAGAGAGAGCUUUUAUAGCUGCUGCUACUCCAAUUACAUGCGAUGAGAGGAAACAUUAUCACUACAAAUUCAGUGGCCAUCUGGACAUACACAUGAUGGAUUGCUGUCAGUAAAAUCGAAGGUUGAGUUUCAGGAUGAGGAUUCUGGCAUGAAAUAUGAGCUGAUUGUCUCUUGUUCAAAAAAGAAACAGUUGGCUUUCUCAUUUGCAUGUAGUCUGCCUUCAAAAUCACUUCCUGGUGAAUCCUCUCCAAUGACAUCAGGCAGCAAAUUUAGCACUUCUGCAAAGUGUUGCACACCAAUAACUACAGCAGAAACUCUAUCUGUAUUUGCAGUAAAAUCAUGCUGACUCAGAUAUUCAGUAUGAGACUCCCAUUGUAUUGCCAAUGCAGCGCAAGUUAACUGAUCCGAAGGAUAGUGGAUCAGUACCGUCCGGUAAGCAACUCCAUACUAGUUACGUUGCGGUCAGGACUCAAGUCUAUGUUAUGCCAAAUACUGUCCAUAGACACCGAAUUCUAAUGUGCCUUCAACACCAAAUUCUGUUUUGAGAGAUUACCAUGAUUGUUCUCUCAAGUGGUUUUCCAUCUGAAGGUGAUGAUAACCUAUGUAACAAUGGUUUGUCGACUUCAAUUGUUUCUUCGACUAAGUUGCUCGGACUCUUUAUUUUUGGUGCCACACCCGUUUCGACACGAUAUGGGUGUGGGUGUGGGAUCCGUACCGUAUUUGGUCAACCAAUUUUGGGUACUUUUACCAAAAUCAACGGAGAAAUUCGGAACAAAUACAAUUAAUUUUUUAAGCAAAACAAAAGCUAGGGUGAAAUUGAAGAAAAUAGAAUACCUUGUAUAUAAAAAUUUUUAUGUCAGUCUUUUUCCUUUUAUCU